GAAUUCGCCCUUAGAGUUUGAUCCUGGCUCAGGACGAACGCUGGCGGCGCGCCUAACACAUGCAAGUCGAACGAGCGAGAGAGAGCUUGCUUUCUCAAGCGAGUGGCGAACGGGUGAGUAACGCGUGAGGAACCUGCCUCAAAGAGGGGGACAACAGUUGGAAACGACUGCUAAUACCGCAUAAGCCCACGACCCGGCAUCGGGAAGAGGGAAAAGGAGCAAUCCGCUUUGAGAUGGCCUCGCGUCCGAUUAGCUAGUUGGUGAGGUAACGGCCCACCAAGGCGACGAUCGGUAGCCGGACUGAGAGGUUGAACGGCCACAUUGGGACUGAGACACGGCCCAGACUCCUACGGGAGGCAGCAGUGGGGAAUAUUGCACAAUGGGGGAAACCCUGAUGCAGCGACGCCGCGUGGAGGAAGAAGGUCUUCGGAUUGUAAACUCCUGUUGUUGAGGAAGAUAAUGACGGUACUCAACAAGGAAGUGACGGCUAACUACGUGCCAGCAGCCGCGGUAAAACGUAGGUCACAAGCGUUGUCCGGAAUUACUGGGUGUAAAGGGAGCGCAGGCGGGAAGACAAGUUGGAAGUGAAAUCCAUGGGCUCAACCCAUGAACUGCUUUCAAAACUGUUUUUCUUGAGUAGUGCAGAGGUAGGCGGAAUUCCCGGUGUAGCGGUGGAAUGCGUAGAUAUCGGGAGGAACACCAGUGGCGAAGGCGGCCUACUGGGCACCAACUGACGCUGAGGCUCGAAAGUGUGGGUAGCAAACAGGAUUAGAUACCCUGGUAGUCCACACCGUAAACGAUGAUU
rnacentral:rRNA from 1 species